UACGUAGGGUGCGAGCGUUAAUCGGAAUUACUGGGCGUAAAGCGUGCGCAGGCGGUUAUGUAAGACAGAUGUGAAAUCCCCGGGCUCAACCUGGGAACUGCAUUUGUGACUGCAUAGCUAGAGUACGGCAGAGGGGGAUGGAAUUCCGCGUGUAGCAGUGAAAUGCGUAGAUAUGCGGAGGAACACCGAUGGCGAAGGCAGCCCCCUGGGCCAAUACUGACGCUCAGGCACGAAAGCGUGGGGAGCAAACAGG
rnacentral:rRNA from 1 species